rnacentral:rRNA from 1 species
CAUGGCCUUUAUGCCCAGGGCUACACACGUGCUACAAUGGGCGGUACAAAGAGAAGCAACCUCGCGAGGGUGAGCAAAUCUCAAAAAGCCGUUCUCAGUUCGGAUUGAAGUCUGCAACUCGACUUCAUGAAGUCGGAAUCGCUAGUAAUCGCGGAUCAGCAUGCCGCGGUGAAUACGUUCCCGGGCCUU